ensembl:lncRNA
ACAUUUAGAUUUAGAUUUAACAUUUAUAUUAUUUAACAACUUUGUUCCUGCCAAAUGUUAUUCUUGGAAAAGAUAUUGCAUGAAUGUACAUGAAUUUCUCUCUAAAUGUAAAAAAAUGUGAAUAUUGUCGUGCUUUUUUGUUCAUAUAAUGCUAAAUGUAGUAAAACUGCGCAGGAUUUUAGAACGUGCGACAUUUUACAAACGGCGCCCCAUACCACACAGCUUGUUGAAUAUUAGAUAUUUCUACCUGUGUGAAUGUACUGAAUUCCACAAAUUGGCGUUGAAUAAUUACCCGCCGCAAAGUUGUGCCUUUUGCUUCAACUUGCGAUGUAAUUAGCAUAAUUUUCUAUCUGUCCCCCUAACACAUUGUCUAUGGGCACCGCUGGGAGGAUCUUUUAAGUUCUAAAUUGGUCUGGCAAUCUCCGCUGUCGCAUGUUGAGUGAUAAUAGUGAGGUCAGCCUUUGGUCAGCCAAAUAGUUAUGGGAGGAUAGAGACGUUCCAAUCUGUUUCACUGCUAUCAGCAAGUUUCCACCAUUUCAGUAAGACUGAGAGGGAUAAGAAUAAGAAUAAGAGGUUGUCUCAUUUCUACACAGGGAGUCAGUCAGCUCAUUUAAAUGAAUUGUUUGGUAAAACGUUGAGCGUUUUUUGGGCCGAAAAGAUUCUCUGUUCAAUUUGUAAUUUAGACAGUUUCCAGUUUAUCUUUCCCCUCCUCCAAUCGAUUAUGGUGACACUUUUAGCCGCAAAGAGCUAGAGGUGUAUCACUCAGACGAGUGUGUGUUUGUACUGGCUCGCUCACACACACUGAGCCACACCAGUACAGCUGAGGGUUGCUGCCUCAGUAGUAAUGAAUGUCAAGAGGCACGCUUUAAUAAAUUAGCCAUGCGUGUGUUCUACCUUAUUAAUGGCCUCAGAGGCAAGUCACAGCCUAUUUAAUGCAUUUCACUUAGUGCAGCUUAUGGGUGCAUUUCAUAAAACAUGGCAGCUUUUUAGACAUUUAUUCUGGCCAUAAAUUUAUUACCAUCUCUGUUUUCUUACCAACCCUCCCUCGUCUCUCUUGUUGCAUUUUCCAACACGCGCCACCUCCUCCCCUAGAUCAGCUGCUUCACACGUACUCCCCUGGCUGAGGUGACUCAUUUCUGGGUGAAAUAUGAUUCAACCUGGGACACUUAUGAUCAAUGUUUAUUAGGGAAAAAAUGAGAGAUGUUCAAAGAAGCACAGGCCACAAACUGUAAAGAUUGAUUUGAGCACACUAACAAUUUGCUGUAAAAUUACAAGUAAUUCUCAACCGCACAAUACUAUCAAAUAUAGCAAGCUAUUUAAAAAUAUAUAUAUUUUGAAUGGCCCACUACUGUUUAAAGUUGCAGUUUACUACUGUAUUUAUUCCUUUUUUCGGUUGACUCUAACUCUGCCCGUUACUUGCAUCAUAUACACACAUUGCAAGUGUUUACUUCUUAUUUAGCACAUUCAAUGUAAAAACUUUAUCUUAUUUUAUUCUUACAUUGCACCAAUUCACCAAGUAAAACCCCUUCAACAUAUAUGGCAAUAAAUGGCUUCUGAUUCUGAUCUGACCAAGACCGUGUAAAGAAAUCCAACCUCAUCCAUCCGUGAUUAUGUUCAGGGUGAAAAAGUUGCAAAAGAAGUACCCGAGUGGACCAAGCCAGAUAGCAGUUGACUCUGGGGGGAUCCGCCCUGGAGUCAGCACCGCAUGCUUCUCCACCUCGCCAUCAAACAACGCAGCGGACAGCGUAGUCCAUCCUGCCCAUGUGGCUCACUGAACAAGAUUUGUUCUAUUGAUGUUAAAUUGCCCCGGGAGACAGAGAACGUGGAGGGAGAAGAAGGAGCGUUAAAGAGAGAAACGUAUGCUUACUGCGGCUGACGUGGUUCCACCCUCAACUGUAGCCAGUGAAGGAAAGAGCCACCAAGCGACUGCCAGGGGGUUUGAAGACAUUUGAAGACAGAAAAUUAAGGGAGGGAUUGUCAUUACGUGUGUGCAAGUCCCUUUCUCAAUGUGCUUUCUUGUGGACUCAUAAAAAAGAGCUGCCAACUCUCACG